GUGGCGUCAUGACGACUGCGCAUGACAACGAAACAUCCCUCCUCUCUACUUUAUCCGCCAGCUGACCGUCUGACUGGUUUGUGAAGCAACUUAAUAAUAAAUAAGUUCGAUUCGACGCUGUUACUUAUCAAAUUAGACCAACUAUGUGUUUCAAUUGGACGUUCUUUGUUUCAUGAUAUUUCGAUAAUGUCGUCGACGUUUGUUUCGAUUACGUGAACUGAUAACGUGACUGAAAGAUUUUAGAAUGACCUGAUUUGAAGACUAGAUAAUAUUCGAAGCGGGAUCAUUGUUCUCCAAGAGGGUACGCGAUAUAAGAGCUGCCAGGUCCGUAACGAAUAAGAAAAAAUAAUUUGGUUGAUGAGUUACCUGGUCCAUCGUGCAGCAAUCAGAUGUUGCCAAAUCUAGACGACGACGAAAUUUGUGUUUGUCCAAUUGUUGCCCAAGCUCGACGUUCUUCAACGCCCAGUCAUGGGACUUAAGCCUUGAGCAAAAACAGAAAAGGAAACGCCAAGCAAGAUUUUACUAAGAAUGUUCUCCAGUAUCAAAGAUUUCAAUACCGUUAUAUAAGAGAGGAAAACAAUCGGCUGCUAUAUUAACUUCCAAGAAAAACAUCGCUAAUAAGAAAACUGAAGGGAAAGCUACUUCCAACUUAUCAUGCAAAAAUAAACGUAAUGCAACUCCUAACAUACCUUUAAAAUGUACCAAACGAACCAGAAAAUUGCCGAAAAAACAUCUAGAUUUAGAUUCAGGGGAAACAAAUCUUACUCAACAGUCUAAUGAUUCUUUCGUAGAAAAUAAAUAUAAUGUUGGUAAAAAAGAAACAAGAGUAGAGAAAGUCGAAAAGUUGACAUUAAAAGGAAGAAAUCAGACUAAAAUUGGAAUUACUCAACUUGUGAAUUCAAAUGAGUCAGACUCUUUUUCAAAACGCUACAAAUACCACGCCACAAGAACAGGUGGUCUACCAUGAAAUGUAAUUCCGAAUUUUCGGGCUCGAUUUCGUGUUUUUGUUCGUACCGAAAUCGACCCAGUAAAUGGAGCUUAACAUUUCGUUCAUGAUAAAUCCUAAUAGUCCAGAUAAACGAUAUUUUAACAUUUUUAAUACUCGUAAUUUCAAAUGACAUGUCUUAUGUAAUUUUAACAUCAAAUUUCUGUUUCGUUCAUCCUCGAAAUUUCGAAAAAUAUUUCAUGGUAGGCCCUCAAGUGACUCUUAUACGCCAAUACUUCCUGCUUUCAUGCUCACCACGGCGAAUUUUCCCACAAAAUUAUUCAAUGAGCUGAUUAUAUACCUAUAGAAUUCAUGACAUACAUAUACAGAAUUCAUGGGAUUUAAAAAAAGUAUUUGAAAACUACAAAACCAACCUGUGGAGUGGGUGUAAAAGUAGUAGUUUCAAAUACAACUAUUUUAUGAUUAACUUAUUCAAAUUAAAUUAUUCCAUUAUUUUUCAAAAGGAACACAAUGUGUAAAUUAAAUAAAACAACUGCAUAUAUUGUCUUUAUAUUUAUUUCCCCAAUAGAACUUUUGUCUCGCCUUGUCUCAGAUUUAGAAUGUUAAUAUAAAAAAAAAAAAAUAAAGUAUAAAUCCACUUAAAUAAUAAAUGGUCUC